CGUUUCUAAGAAGAGGACUUGCUUCCUAUUUCCUGGAAAGCAUAUCAGGAGCAGUUACUGAUAUUUGAAUAUGCUCUUACAUUAGGCCUAAACCAUAUAUCUUUGUGAAAAGAAAUUCAAUAAUCUAAGAGAAAAUAAUUGUGUUUCUUAGGGAAUUUCUCCAGUAUCUUUAUAACUGUAUUUGUUCUAAAUUAUAGAUUGUAGCCUUAUCUGCAGUGCUUCAUUAAAGAGAUGAAAAUAUAAGCUUCUUUCCAUAAUAAUUCCUGUUUAGUAUGAUUUAUAAAAUUAUUACUAUGUUUAAAUGAUAACCUAAAUGUUUCUGGCCUCUAAAUGAGCACAGCCUCUGUUCCUAUAGCCCUUAAGGAACCUUGAGUAAUAAGGAAGAAUUGAACUGUUUUUUGUUUGUUUGUUUUUUCUUUUUGUUUUUUGGCCAUAUUCCCAGCAUGUGGAAGUUCCUGGCCCAGGAAUUGAACCCAUGCCACAACUGUGACUGAAGCCACUGCAGUGACAAUGAUGGAUCCUGUACCCACUAUGCCACAAGAAAACUCCCUGGUUUCGGCCCCCCCCCCCAUAAUAUUUCCCUUUUCAAAAGAUCCCAAAGCACCUUAUAAAUGGGAAGAUAGUAUCACCUGUCUGGAGUGCUAAAUGUCUUAAGUCAGAUAUACUGUAAAAGAGCUAAGGAUUAGAUGAGGUAAAGAUUUAUCUAGUUUUAUCCGUAGAAGAAUGUGCGAAGUUAUUAUUAGAUGGUUGUUUAUUUCCAUAAGCUAUUUUUUAAAAAAAGUUUUAUUGAAGCAUAAUUAAUUUAUAAGGGUGUGAUAAUUUCUGCUGCACAACAAAGUGACCCAGUCAUACAUAUACACAUAUCUGUUCUCUCUCAGAUUCUUUUCCCACAUAGGUAAUCACAGAAUAUUGGGUAGAGUUCUCUGUGCUAUACAGCAGGUCUCUGUUGGCCAAUUGGUCCAUAUACCUCAGUGUGCAUAUGCCAGUCCUAAACCACUAGUCCAUCCCUCCCACUCCCCCCUCUGUCCCCUUUGGUAACUGUUAGUCUUUCAAAGUCUGUGUGUCUGUUUCUGUUCUGCAAAUUCAUUUGUAUCCUUUUUUUCCCCUCCACGUAUAGGUGAUAUUUUUAUGAUAUUUGUCUUUCACUGUCUAACUUCACUUAAUAUGAUAGUUUCUAGGUCCUUCUGUUUAUUAAGGUAGGUUUAGGGAACAUGUCAAAAAAGUGUGUUUUAUGUGUUUUUUACCUGCCAGCUUGCUUGCUUGCUUGUCCUUGUUUUUUUAUUUUUGUUUUUUUCCAAAAGAAAAUGGCUUUAUUUUUCAAUUAAAAAAAUUUUUUUUCUGAUUUAUAAAAUAGUUUUUGCUUAUUGUUAGGAUAUUCAAACAAUACUGAAAAGUACAAAGAAAAAAAGCAACAAUCACUUAAAUUCCCACUACUCAGAAGUAAUCACUCUUCCAGACAGUACGAAACAGUUUACAUACAUGUACUUACUGUUUUCUAAAAAAUGAAUUAAAUAUGCUGUUGUACAGCUGACAUCUUUUACUGAAUAAUGUACUGUGGACAUCUUUUCAUGGAAACAAGUGUAGUCUGUAUCAUCAUAUUUCUUUGGCUGUGUAGUGUUACAUGUUGCCUUCGCCAUCAGUUUUAUCAUGUAUUGUACAUUUGCUUUAAUCACGAAUCUCUCUUCAGAUACUUUAUACCUUUUGGGAGGCUUAGUUUAAAAUAUGGCAUUAUCCUCAACUGGAAAUUAAAUUCAUUCAUUCAGUAGUUAUUUAUUGAGUGCUUACUAUGUCUUAAUUGCCAUUUGAGGAACUUGGAAUGUAUCUGCUGCUCUUGUGGAAUUUAUAAUCUUGUAACAUAUAGAACAUGUUAAAAUCGGUGAAGAAGAACUUCUCUUCUCUCUGCCCAGAUUGAAAGAGGAGAUGAAAGGAGCAGUCAUCGUGGAUGUUUAUUAGAGAAUGGGCUAAGGGCCAGAGGCCUGUCCAAGGAGAUUUACAAAUAUAUCAUUUUUAGCUUCCCUAUUUCAUUUCUUGUUAACAGUCAUGAUUUGUUCUAAAAUGUGAGUGUUAUGUCUGACUUUGCUUUAAUGUUGCACCUAUGUCUACUUACGAAUUUAAAAAAUUUCAGGAAUGUCAACAAUUACUUUUUUUGAAAAUAUUAGUGUUCCUGCUUAACAGUAUCCAAAGCUAUACUUUGAUGAUCUCCAUAUAGAACCUCAAUACUUAAUUUGCUGACUUUAUGAUUAGCCACAGAGUCUUUUGUCUUACUUGUGUUUUCCCAAUAAUAAUUCAUCCUUAAAGAGGGGAAUUGAUUUUUAUGAUUAUAUGUAGUAAACACAAGAUAUACCAUGUACAUGUAAUUACAAAGCAGUUGUAGUGGCAAAUCUAAGAUCCUAUGACAUCCAUUAUCGAGAUCUCAUAAUUUCCCUCAGUGAGCAUUUGAAAAAAUUAGAAUGCAAUCUCAAGAAGUGUAGGUUAACAAUCAUACAAGUGGAGUUCCCAUUGUGGCUCAGUGCUUAAUGAAUCCGACAAGCAUCGAUGAGGACGCGAGUUUGAUCCCUGGCCUUGCUCAGUGGGUUAAGGAUCCAGUGUUGCUGUGGCUGUAGUGUAGGUUGGCUGCUACAGCUCCAAUUUGACCCCUAGCCUGGGAACCUCCAUAUGCCGUGGGUGCGGCCCU
rnacentral:lncRNA from 1 species